rfam:Triticum urartu cultivar G1812 contig988347, whole genome shotgun sequence.
UGAGCAUUGCCUUCGUUCCAAAAAGCUUGUCUUAAAUUUAUCUACAUAUAAAUGUAUCUAACACUAAAACAUGUCUAGAUACAUCUGUAUAUAGACAAAUCUAAGACAAACUUUUUGGGGCGUAAGGAGUAUUCA